rnacentral:rRNA from 1 species
GACGAACGCUGGCGGCGUGCUUAACACAUGCAAGUCGAACGAAGAGCGAUGGAAGCUUGCUUCUAUCAAUCUUAGUGGCGAACGGGUGAGUCACGCGUAAUCAACCUGCCCUUCAGAGGGGGACAACAGUUGGAAACGACUGCUAAUACCGCAUACGAUCUAAUCUCGGCAUCGAGGAUAGAUGAAAGGUGGCCUCUACAUGUAAGCUAUCACUGAAGGCGGGGAUUGCGUCUGAUUAGCUAGUUGGAGGGGUAACGGCCCACCAAGGCGAUGAUCAGUAGCCGGUCUGAGAGGAUGAACGGCCACAUUGGGACUGAGACACGGCCCAGACUCCUACGGGAGGCAGCAGUGGGGAAUCUUCCGCAAUAGACGAAAGUCUGACGGAGCAACGCCGCGUGAGUGAUGACGGCCUUCGGGUUGUAAAGCUCUGUUAAUCGGGACGAAAGGCCUUCUUGCGAAUAGUGAGAAGGAUUGACGGUACCGGAAUAGAAAGCCACGGCUAACUACGUG